CCCGGCGGCCCUGCGUGCUGAGUCUGUCUCGCCCUGGUCUGACUUUGCCUGUCGUGCUCUUUCCUCUUUCCUUACCUGCACUCCCUUCUUGCUCCUUCCGCGUUUCCUCUCCUGCUCCCCUUUCUCUGCGACCCCCUUCUUGAUACCCCUUUCUCUAGCUCACCAGUUUCUUUUUCCCAAUAGAUUCCAUCUCCCCACCCCCUGCGCUCGCUCGGAAAGGCUGGGCUUCUCGGGUCUAGGACCUAGGUGGGGGGUUUCUUCCCCACGUCGGGGACCCCGGCACUCCUGUCCCCGGUUUCAAAUCAACUUUUCCACCUCUGUCACAGGGGCAGAGUUUCAGGAGAUCCUUGCUGCCUUCUGGACCGGACCCCGAACCUUCAGUUCCAGGCCUCCUGGAAGGCAGUGCAGCAAAGGGUUUAAAAACACAGGUCAGAACCUCUCCCAGCAAGGGUGGCCGGCUGUUGAGCGACCUCUAUGCCAUGAUCAGGAAAGCACCUUGGGAGUAGAAUCAACCUAUGAGAAAGAAAGGUGGCAGGAGACUGAAUGAACCGCUGCAAAUAUAAGGGUCUCACUGUGUAGUUCAGGCUGGCCUUGGACUCACUGCAUAGCCCAGGUGGGCCUCGAUCUCUUGGGAAUCCUCCUGCUUCAGCCUCCUGAGUGCUGGGAUUACAGGCAUACACCACCAUGCCCGGCUCAAUUUGUGAAUUUUUUAACGGAGUUUUCUGUUUAAUAUUCUUGAAUAUCAGUUGACUUUGGGUAACUGAAACUGCAGAAAAUGAGAGGGAAAAUGUGAGGGACAAAAAUAUUUGGCUGCAUGAUCGAUAUACCCUUAUUGUCUACUCUGUGAUUUUUAAACUAUGGGGAUUUGUUAAAAAUGCAAAGUCUCUGUAACACCUCCAAGCUACAGAAUCCAAAACUCAGGGUGGGACCCAACCAUCUGUGUUUUAGCAGGCACUCUAGGUGGUUUUCAUGCCUCUCAAUUUGGAGAUUCCUUGCCUUCAAUUUGAGAAACCAAGGUUAUUUUUACUUCUUACACGUGACUAACCAAGGUAAAGGGCAAGUGACGUGCGUUCUAAAAGUUUAGAAUAGCAAAUGACACAAUUUUGUAUAUGUAAAUGUUUCUGUAUUUUAUAUAUAAACUUCAUAUGUGUAUAUGUACUUAUGUAUUACAUACUGUAUGCAUAAACAUGUGAAUAUACCUUGUAAACUACCAUGCAAUUUAAAGAUUCUGUUCUUUUGAGAGUUUCUUUUCUGCUUUGCACUCAGAACUAAUUAAUCAAGGGACAAAGAACCAG
rnacentral:lncRNA from 1 species